GCGGUCGUGGCCUAAAGGUUAGCGAGUUGGGCUUGUAACCUGAAGGUUGUGGGUUCAAGUCUCAGUUCCAGCA